AUUAUUCAUUGGAGGAAGCAAAGACACGAUUAUUCAUUGGAGGAAGCAAACACACUUCUUUUUAUUAGUAAAUAAGACGAAAUUAAUGAAGGAUUUGUGUCUUCCGGUUCUGGUAGUUCAAGCGCUAGUAGCGUAUGCAUCAACAUCCUUGGUGACAUUGAUAGCUAAAUCCUGGAAUUUCUUCGGGUCUGGAAUAUCCAGGCUUACUUUCUCAUACUCCCAAAUCCAUUUCACCAGGCUACCUUCACCUUUUGGUAUAACUUGAAUGGUGACGUUAAAGCUUUUGUAGUUUUUCAGUAUCUCUCCUUCCACUGUGACAGAAGUUACAGACUUCUUUUCCUCGUCUACAUGUAUCCUUCCUUUUACAGUGUGAACUUUCCCAUCUAAGUUAAAAUUCCAGUGCUUGAUUGAGCCUGAGGAGUGCAAAUCACCUUCAUGGACCUCAACGCCAUGUAAAUUCUCAUGAUGAGUUUUGGGGACAAUAUGUGCUUUUGCUCUGUAUGUGCUGAAGAACUUUUCAGCAGAGGAUUUUACCUCUAUUUCAGUCUCCAAUUUGCCCACUAGAGCCAUAUUAUCUAGCUGACAAGAUGUAUAUGCGAAACUCAAGUUUCAGAAUAGAGUAG
rnacentral:misc_RNA from 1 species